rnacentral:rRNA from 1 species
UUGCCCUAGUAACGGCGAGUGAAGCGGCAACAGCUCAAAUUUGAAAUCUGGCGCAAGCGCGAGUUGUAAUUUGUAGAGGAUGCUUCUGGGUAGCGACCGAUCUAAGUUCCUUGGAACAGGACGUCAUAGAGGGUGAGAAUCCCGUAUGUGACCGGCCCGCACCCUUUACGUAGCUCCUUCGACGAGUCGAGUUGUUUGGGAAUGCAGCUCUAAAUGGGAGGUAAAUUUCUUCUAAAGCUAAAUACCGGCCAGAGACCGAUAGCGCACAAGUAGAGUGAUCGAAAGAUGAAAAGUACUUUGGAAAGAGAGUUAAAAAGCACGUGAAAUUGUUGAAAGGGAAGCGCCUGCAACCAGACUUCGCGGCAGUGUUCCGCCGGUCUUCUGACCGGUUCAUUCUCUGUCGCGAGGCCAUCAUCGUCUGGGCCCGCCGGAUAAGACCUUAGGAAUGUAGCUCACCUUCGGGGGAGUGUUAUAGCCUAGGGUGAUGCGGCGAGGCUCGGGCGAGGUCCGCGCUUCGGCAAGGAUGAUGGCGUAAUGGUUGUCGGCGGCCCGUCUUGAAACACGGACCAAGGAGUCUAACAUCUAUGCGAGUGUUCGGGUGUCAAACCCCUACGCGUAAUGAAAGUGAACGGAGGUGGGAACCGCAAGGUGCACCAUCGACCGAUCCUGAUGUCCUCGGAUGGAUUUGAGUAAGAGCAUAGCUGUUGGGACCCGAAAGAUGGUGAACUAUGCCUGAAUAGGGUGAAGCCAGAGGAAACUCUGGUGGAGGCUCGCAGCGGUUCUGACGUCUAAAUCGAUCGUCAAAUUUGGGUAUAGGGGC